rnacentral:lncRNA from 1 species
GUUUCCAUGGUGCAAACAAACCCCCGGCUCUACCCUGGCCACACCCACUGGCCCGCAGGAACAGAGGUGGCAGGAAGAGAACCUUCAGCAGCCUCAAGUGUGCCCUGAUCAGUCACCUAUGCUGCUUGUUUAAAAUACCCUGUACCCGUGCAGGCUGGGCACCCCAGUCCAGAUUUAGGCUGAAGAAACAGGGCCUCUUAAGGAGGGGGGUUACCUGCAGGAGAAGUGAUGUGAACCACAAGAAACCCCUCGUGGCUAUGGAAACCAGUUGGAUGUGAUGUGGCAUCAGCUCAAUUGGGAAAUGAAGUCACCUGGCCAACUCUGACUCCAAGAUUGCCAGGAGAAAGCAAAACAUCGGUGUUCAUCCCCAGGAUGAAGCAGGCUGCCUUGUCUGAGCCUGGGGUCUUCGCCAGAGGUGCACCUCAUCAAAGCCCCUGAGAUGCCCCUCCAGGGCCUGGUCCCUGCAGGAGAAACCAAGCUCUAAGGCAGAGGCAAAGGAGCCACACAGCUGCACCCUGCAAGCCUUCUGGAGUCCUUGUCAGCUGUGUCCCUCAUAAGUCAUUCAAGGAGACCUUGUGGGUUCCAAGCUUGGGUCAUUUAAGUGGUUGUUGUCGCAUAAACAUGGCUUUCCAAGGACA